rnacentral:rRNA from 1 species
CCUACGGGAGGCAGCAGUAGGGAAUCUUUCACAAUGGGCGAAAGCCUGAUGGAGCAACGCCGCGUGCAGGAUGAAGGCCUUCGGGUUGUAAACUGCUUUUAUAAGCGAGAAAUAUGAUGGUAACUUAUGAAUAAGGAUCGGCUAACUACGUGCCAGCAGCCGCGGUCAUACGUAGGAUCCGAGCAUUAUCCGGAGUGACUGGGUGUAAAGAGUUGCGUAGGUGGCAUAGUAAGUAGCUAGGGAAAUCUGGUGGCUUAACCAUUCAGACUAUUAGCUAAACUGUUAAGCUCGAGACCGUUAGCGGUAACUGGAAUUUAUAGUGUAGGAGUGAAAUCCGUAGAUAUGAGAAGGAACACCAAUAGCGUAGGCAGGUUGCUGGGACGGUUCUGACACUAAGGCACGAAAGCGUAGGGAGCAAACGGGAUUAGAUACCCGAGUAGUC